GAUGAACGCUGGCGGCGUGCUUAACACAUGCAAGUCGAACGAUGAACCGGAGCUUGCUCCGGGGAUUAGUGGCGAACGGGUGAGUAACACGUGGGCAACCUGCCCCAGACAUCGGGAUAACCAUUCGAAAGGAUGGCUAAUACCGGAUAUGACCACUUCGGGCAUCCGAUGGUGGUGGAAAAGGAUUCUGGUCUGGGAUGGGCCCGCGGCCUAUCAGCUAGUUGGUGGGGUAAUGGCCUACCAAGGCGACGACGGGUAGCCGGCCUGAGAGGGCGGCCGGCCACACUGGGACUGAGACACGGCCCAGACUCCUACGGGAGGCAGCAGUGGGGAAUAUUGCGCAAUGGGCGAAAGCCUGACGCAGCGACGCCGCGUGAGGGACGAAGGUCUUCGGAUUGUAAACCUCUUUCAGCAGGGACGAAGCGAAAGUGACUGUACCUGCAGAAGAAGCACCGGCUAACUACGUGCCAGCAGCCGCGGUAAU
rnacentral:rRNA from 1 species